rnacentral:piRNA from 1 species
GAGGUAGACUCCAGCCAGAGCCAGG